rnacentral:rRNA from 1 species
UACAGAGGUCUCAAGCGUUGUUCGGAUUCAUUGGGCGUAAAGGGUGCGUAGGCGGCGCGGUAAGUCGGGUGUGAAAUUUCGAGGCUUAACUUCGAAACUGCAUUCGAUACUGCCGUGCUAGAGGACUGGAGAGGAGACUGGAAUUUACGGUGUAGCGGUGAAAUGCAUUGAGAUCGGAAAGAACACCAACGGCGAAAGCACUCUGCUGGGCCGACACUGACACUGAGAGACGAAAGCUAGGGGAGCAAAUGGG